rnacentral:rRNA from 1 species
GUACGGGAGGCAGCAGUAGGGAAUAUUGCUUAAUGGGCGCAAGCCUGAAGCAGCAACGCCGCGUGUGCGAUGAAGGCCUUCGGGUUGUAAAGCACUUUUUGCUGGGAAGAGGAAGGACGGUACCAGCAGAAUAAGCCUCGGCUAACUACGUGCCAGCAGCCGCGGUAAAACGUAGGAGGCGAGCGUUAUCCGGAUUUACUGGGUGUAAAGCGCGUGCAGGCGGUUUACUAAGUUGGAUGUGAAAGCUCCUGGCUCAACUGGGAGAGGUCGUUCAAAACUGGUAGACUCGAGAGCAGUAGGGGAAGGUGGAAUUCCGGGUGUAGUGGUGAAAUGCGUAGAUAUCCGGAGGAACACCAGUGGCGAAGGCGGCCUUCUGGACUGCAUCUGACGCUCAGACGCGAAAGCUAGGGUAGCAAACGGGAUUAGAUACCCGCGUAGUCCG